UUCUCCUUGGGGUUUUCCUUUUCGUUGGGGCGAGCCUCCGACUGAGGCGAACGAGAACAGCCGAGUGGAGGCGGACGAUCGGGAGAAUUUCUACCGACUCAAAGACAUGUCGGUACCGAAGCAGAGGGAGCUUGUUACCGAACAAGUCCUCUAUGACGCUGGCCUGAGCCUGAUCCCCCGUCUAGGUACUGCCCGAUCCAUCGGUUGUCUUUUCGCUUCACAUUUGUCCCUGAACAUGUACUGAUUUUUUCAUUGAAUAUU
rnacentral:lncRNA from 1 species